UACAGAGGGGGCAAGCGUUGUUCGGAAUUACUGGGCGUAAAGGGCGCGUAGGCGGCCCGCUAAGUCGAAACGUGAAAUCCCUGGGCUCAACCCAGGAACUGCGUCCGAUACUGGCAGGCUUGAAUCCGGGAGAGGGAUGUGGAAUUCCAGGUGUAGCGGUGAAAUGCGUAGAUAUCAGUCGGAACACCGGUGGCGAAGGCGGCUUCUUGGGCCGUUCCUGACGCUGAGGCGGCGAAAAGCGGUGGGGAGCGAACAGG
rnacentral:rRNA from 1 species